rnacentral:rRNA from 1 species
AGAGUUUGAUCCUGGCUCAGGAUGAACGCUAGCUACAGGCUUAACACAUGCAAGUCGAGGGGCAGCAUGUUGGUUGCUUGCAACCAACGAUGGCGACCGGCGCACGGGUGAGUAACGCGUAUCCAACCUACCCUUGUCCAUCGGAUAACCCGUCGAAAGGCGGCCUAACACGAUAUGCGGUUCACGGCAGGCAUCUAAGGUGAACGAAAUGUGAAGGAGAAGGAUGGGGAUGCGUCUGAUUAGCUUGUUGGCGGGGUAACGGCCACCAAGGCUACGAUCAGUAGGGGUUCUGGAGAGGAAGGUCCCCCACAUUGGAACUGGAGACACGGUCCAAACGUCCCUACGGGAGGCA